rnacentral:rRNA from 1 species
AUACGGAGGGUGCAAGCGUUGUUCGGAAUCACUGGGCGUAAAGGGCGCGCAGGCGGUUUGGUAAGUCAGAUGUGAAAGCCCAUGGCUCAACCAUGGAAGUGCAUUUGAAACUGUCAGACUUGAGUACUAGAGGGGAAAGUGGAAUUCCCGGUGUAGAGGUGAAAUUCGUAGAUAUCGGGAGGAAUACCGGUGGUGAAGGCGACUUUCUGGCUAGAUACUGACGCUGAGGCGCGAAAGCGUGGGGAGCAAACAGGAUUAGAAACCCCAGUAGUCC